GUUAUUUGAUUCCUCUUUUCGAACACCGCAGGGGUCACGGUGGCUUUCUGAUGAGGUCAUUGAUGCAUACCUGCACUGUGUUAUUGAGAGACGAAAGAAUGCUGUACACCUGCUCUGUUCAGUGGUUGCAAGCUUGUUGUUUUCUGGGCAGUUCAGAUGCCUCAACAAGGUAUGUUGAAAGUUCAGAAGUGGUCCAAACAGUUCACUCCUUUCUGUUGCUGAGGAAAGAGUUUGGUUCCUUUAAAGAAGACUAUAUUUGGAAACACCCUAAGACGCAUGGUACCUAAGUAAAUCCAAAUUACUCUACACUUCCAAUCCCACAGAUGAAGUUCCCAGUUGAAGACAUGUGGCUGUGCUCUGUGAAUUUUGGUACACACUGGAUUCUUGUAGUAUGUGUUCAUUUUGUUAUUAAAUUGCGUAAUUUGUUGUGAAGCAGUUUCUUGCACAAAGUUUUAUUUUUAAAUAAUUUUUCAGUGGCACAAACUAUUGUAAUUUUUAAUUUAUUAACUUUUUCUUUAGAUUGUCAACAUUUCUGCACAGAAAAUACUACUCAUAGACCCCAUGGGGAAUGAAGGUGUUUAUGACAGGAAAAUUCUGCGCAACUGGAGGUAUGUAUGAUACUGAGGUAUUAUUCUUAGAUAAAAAAAAUUCUUGUUUCAUUACAAACAUUUUUGUUCAACUAGGAAUUUUCUGAGGAUGAGAGGGCAUGAAGACAUUAUGGAGUGGCAGUUACAGACUAUGCAACACAACAAGCAACAGGAUUCCAGCAGUUGCGGAGUUUUACUGUUAAAGGUAACCCUUAUUCAAAUGAUUCCAUUUAUUGUUAGCUAGAAUUAAGACUUUAAGUGAAUUUAAGUGAAGUGAAAUUUAUUUCGUUCAACAACAACAACAACAACACAGAUUAUCAUUUUACAUGGAAGUACUUAAUCAUACAGUAACUGAAAAAGGUAUAGGCUGAAGCCUUGUGGCUAAUAAUUAUCCUAUCCUUUACUUAAUUAAGACUUUAAAUUCUAAUUAAUCAAUCUCACAGUUUGCAGAACACUACCUUGAUUUUGGAGAGGUCAGUGAGGUGUUAACCACUACAGAGGCAGUUGUGCUGGAACGAAUGCAGAUAGCUUGUACCCUACUUGAAAAUCGAGGUAAGUUCAGUAAAGUUCUUAUCACGUUAGAGUGUGUACUUCCAAUUUAAAUAGUGCUUUUCAAACAGCACAGUACAAAUAGUGCUCUUCAAACACUUUCAGAUAAGACCCUUCUCAAAGUCUAAUUAAAAAAAUUCAGGAGACUAAUUUUCCAUGAAGUAUAUUUGGAAAAAAUGUACUAUUAUUUUUAAAUUAUUCAAUAAAUUUUGAAUGUGCAAAAUAUAAAGAGUGCAACCAAGAAUAUAAAUGCCAAAAAUGUAAGGAAAACACAUAACAACUUCAAAUAAAAACAGCUGUCUUUUUCCCUCCAUGUGUGUUGGUAUUCUUUGUCAACAUUAGAUGAUUGUGUGCUGGAAGCAUGUUUUAAUAGUGUGAUUUGGCCAUCUGAACGUCCUACCUAUACGACGGAGCCAUUAACCACGUAAGGUAGCAUAUUCUGAUAAGGUAGCACGGAUUGAUAGACAAGACCAUAAAUUUACGCUACGGUAGGAUGUUUUGACAAGGUAGGACGUUUUGUCAGAACCCGGCAGCCUUGCCUCUGUCAGUGCGCCCCAGGGUGGCUGUGGCUACAAUGUAGCUUGCCAUCACCAGUGUGUGGAUGACUGGAUGUAUAAAGUGCUUUGGGGUCCUUAGGGACUAGUAAAGCGCUAUACAAAUAAAGGCCAUUUACCAUUUACCAUUUGUCCUUUUUACGAAUUUUUCAUUUUACCGGUAUGUUUGUAAUGUUUAUAGAUUUUUAACUGCCAUGUCACAACGCCUCGGGUAUAGGUGAUGUAGGGAUCUUUUCCAGUAGAAGAGUUGUAUGAUCCGCAAAACGCUCCUUUUUGAUUUGGCAGAUGCUGCUGACACCACUCCUCUCUCCUUUUCAUGAGGAGUCAGGAAAUGAAAAG
rnacentral:lncRNA from 1 species